rnacentral:rRNA from 1 species
UACGUAGGGUGCAAGCGUUGUCCGGAAUUAUUGGGCGUAAAGAGCUCGUAGGCGGUCUGUCGCGUCGGCUGUGAAAACCCGGGGCUCAACCCCGGGCCUGCAGUCGAUACGGGCAGACUAGAGUGCGGUAGGGGAGACUGGAAUUCCUGGUGUAGCGGUGAAAUGCGCAGAUAUCAGGAGGAACACCGGUGGCGAAGGCGGGUCUCUGGGCCGUAACUGACGCUGAGGAGCGAAAGCUAGGGGAGCGAACGGG